AGUCCCGUGGUGUAGUGGUCAAGCAUAGGAGCCUCUGGAGCUUCAGACGGCGGUUCGAAUCCGCUCGGGACUA
rnacentral:tRNA from 1 species